GGCUUCACAGCUCAGUCGGUCGAGCAUCGCACCGGUAUCGCGGAGGUCACGGGUUUGAAUGCCGUUGAAGUCC
rnacentral:tRNA from 1 species